GCAUCUGUGCAUGCAGCAUAUCAAUAAGCGGAGGAAAAGAAACUAACAAGGAUUCCCUUAGUAACGGCGAGUGAAGCGGGAAGAGCUCAAAUUUGAAAUCUUCAAGGGUUUACCUUUACGAAUUGUAGUUUAAAGAAGUGUUUUCUGUUGAGGUUUUGGUAAAAGUUCUUUGGAAUAGGACAUCAUAGAGGGUGAGAAUCCCGUAUUUGACCAUUACUUUCAACUUUGUGAUACACUUUCAAAGAGUCGGAUUGUUUGGGAAUGCAGUCCAAAAUGGGUGGUAAAUUUCAUCUAAAGCUAAAUAUUGGCGAGAGACCGAUAGCGAACAAGUACCGUGAGGGAAAGAUGAAAAGAACUUUGAAAAGAGAGUUAAACAGUACGUGAAAUUGUCAAAAGGGAAGCGUUUGACACCAGUGUUGUUUUCUCGAAAAUCAAUUAAAAAGAGUUAGAUUUUGUUGUGUAUUGACCUUAACAGCUUGCAUUUCAAUUUUCUUGCUUUUUUUAAUGCACUUUUCGUUUAACAAGUCAACAUCAGUUUCUUUUGUUGUAAAAAGGUCAUUGGAAGGUGGCUUUCUUUUCGGAGAAAGUGUUUAUAGCCUUUGACUCCUGCAAUCGGAGAGACUGAGGUCUGCAGCGUAGAUCCUUCGGGGUUAGAUACAUUUGUGCUAAGUUAUAGCUUUUUAUAGACAACUUGUUGACUAUGAUUAGUCUUGUAGCUUACUCGCUUAUGCUAUUUUACCUACGCUUAGGAUGUUGAUCUCUCACAGUCGAGC
rnacentral:rRNA from 1 species